UUUGGUAGUUUCAUAAUAACUUCUCGAAUCGCACUGGCUUGUUGCCAGGCGAUGCUUCAUUCAAAUAUCUGCCCUAUCAACUUUCGAUGGUAGGAUAGUGGCCUACCAUGGUGUUGCAACGGGUAACGGGGAAUAAGGGUUCGAUUCCGGAGAGGGAGCCUGAGAAACGGCUACCACAUCCAAGGAAGGCAGCAGGCGCGCAAAUUACCCAAUCCCGAUACGGGGAGGUAGUGACAAUAAAUAACAAUAUAGGGCUCUUUCGGGUCUUAUAAUUGGAAUGAGUACAAUUUAAAUCUCUUAACGAGGAACAAUUGGAGGGCAAGUCUGGUGCCAGCAAGCCGCGGUAAUUCCAGCUCCAAUAGCGUAUAUUACAGUUGUUGCAGUUAAAAAGCUCGUAGUUGAACUUCAGAUCUGGUUGGGGGGUCCGCUUAACGGCGUGUUACUGCUCGACUGGGUCUUGUCUCUUGGUGAACCGUCGUGUCCUUAGUUGGAUGCUUCGGGGAACCAAGGACUUUUACCUUGAAAAAAUUAGAGUGUCACAGCAGGCCUAUGCCUGGAAUACAUUAGCAUGGAAUAAU
rnacentral:rRNA from 1 species